rnacentral:misc_RNA from 1 species
AUUUUCUGUUGAUGACGCUCUUAGUGUAAAUAGUGCAGGUUCAGUAGCUGGUAGAAGGUGGUUGUUAUUGUCCAAGUUAAAACAAGGGUUGUCAAAGCAUAAGGAGGGUCAUGUUAAGACUUUGUUCCCGUGGAAGUAUGGUUUGGGAGAUAAAGAGAAGGCUGAGGCUGAGAAUAGGGUGGAGGAGACAUCAUAUCGAAGUGGUAAGAGGAGAAAGGAAGGUUUAAUUGAUCAUGAGUUGGUGUUGGGGGCAUUGUCACGGGCUCUUGAGAUAACUGAAUUAG